GACCUUGCUGCAAAGCUAGAAAUGACUUCAAUUACAACUACCCUUUCUGAUUAAAAGGAUGAUGAGGGCCCAUGAGCUCCUGUGAGCAGGGUUGAUCAUGGAAAUGGCUGUGGCCACCUCAGUCCCAGUGGCCCCUAGGGCCCUGAUUCUGGGCCACUUUAAAUAGAGAAAGCACAUGUUCCCUGCCAAGUCCUGAAAAAUGAGGCGUGGGCCAUGGGCGCUCAGCAAGGACGGGUCCCCUUUUUAACAUGCUUAGAGAGUGGGCGGAAAUUGGCUUUAUGGUGUUAUCCUGGAGAAAUCUGAUUUAUUUUUUAUCUUAAUUGCUCUCACAACUCCACCUCUGGCACAUUACCUGGUCACCUUCUCUGUCCUCUGAGGAGCGAGGGCGGGCAGCAGAGCUUGGAGUUUUGCCUGACAAUGACAUUUUAAUGUCCAGGCAGUUUGUCAUCUGCUAGAAUCUCUCCCUGCACUCAGCCCAUCUUUCUUUGCAGCUCCUCAGAGCAAGCUCCCAUGGAUUGUUACCUUAUGGACUAGCUGUCUGACUCACUCCUAAGUGAUCUAAUAAAAGCAGUGCCUUAAAAUCAUUGGAGCCAAGCAUUCCUGCUCUGGAGAGAUUGGAUUCCUGCUCCCUCCCGACUUCUCAGAUUUGGAUUCCAACCAGAAAGAAUGGGGAAAAGGAAGGAGAGGCCAUGCCCAGUUUCUCUGAGCACUAAAUCAGAACCUGCUCACAACACUUUCUCCCAUCACCUGGUCACAUCCAACUCCCC